UUCCAGACUCCUACGGGAGGCAGCAGUGGGGGAUAUUGCACAAUGGGGGAAACCCUGAUGCAGCGACGCCGCGUGGGCGAAGAAGUAUUUCGGUAUGUAAAGCCCUAUCAGCAGGGAAGAAGAAAUGACGGUACCUGAGUAAGAAGCACCGGCUAAAUACGUGCCAGCAGCCGCGGUAAUACGUAUGGUGCAAGCGUUAUCCGGAUUUACUGGGUGUAAAGGGAGCGCAGGCGGCACGGCAAGCCUGAUGUGAAAGCCCGCGGCCCAACCGCGGGACUGCAUUGGGAACUACCGGGCUGGAGUGCCGGAGAGGUAGGCGGAAUUCCUAGUGUAGCGGUGAAAUGCGUAGAUAUUAGGAGGAACACCAGUGGCGAAGGCGACUUUCUGGACUGUACCUGACGCUGAGGCGCGAAAGCGUGGGUAGCGAACGGGAUUAGAUACCCUCGUA
rnacentral:rRNA from 1 species